CGAUGAAGGCCUUCGGGUUGUAAAGCCCUUUUAAUGGGGGAAGAGAAAAAGGACGGUACCCCAUGAAUAAGUCCCGGCUAACUACGUGCCAGCAGCCGCGGUAAAACGUAGGGGACAAGCGUUAUCCGGAUUCACUGGGCGUAAAGAGCGUUGAGGCGGUUCCGUAAGUUGGGCGUGAAAGCUCCGGGCUUAACCCGGAGAUGUCGUUCAAUACUGCGGGGCUGAGGACAGCAGAGGAAGGUGGAAUUCCCGGUGUAGUGGUGAAAUGCGUAGAUAUCGGGAGGAACACCCGUGGCGAAGGCGGCCUUCUGGGCUGUUCCUGACGCUGAAGGCGAAAGCUAGGGGAGCGAACGGGAUUAGAUACCCCGGUAGUCCUAGCUGUAAACGAUGGAUGCUGGGUGUGGGGGGUGUAAAUUCCCUCUGUGCCGAAGCAAACGCGUUAAGCAUCCCGCCUGGGGACUACGGCCGCAAGGCUAAAACUCAAACGAAUGGACGGGGCCCGCACAAGCAGCGGAGCGUGUGGUUUAAUUCGAUGCUACACGAAGAACCUUACCUGGGUUUGACAUGCACGUGGUAGGAUACCGAAAGGGGACCGACCUUCGGGAGCGUGAACAGGGUGCUGCAUUGGCUGUCGUCGAGCCUCGUGCCGGUGGAGGUGUCGGGGUUAUAGUCCCGUAACGAGCGCAACCCUUGCCCUUAGUUACAAGUGUCUAAGGGGACUGCCCGGGACAACUGGGAGGAAGGUGGGGAUGACGUCAAGUCAGCAUGGCCUUUAUAUCCAGGGCUACACACACGCUACAAUGGCCAGUACAAUAGGUAGCCAAGUCGUGAGACGGAGCCAAUCUUUAAAGCUGGUCUCAGUUCGAAUUGCAGUCUGCAACUCGACUGCAUGAAGCU
rnacentral:rRNA from 1 species